rnacentral:rRNA from 1 species
UUAAGCGACUAAGCGUACACGGUGGAUGCCCUGGCAGUCAGAGGCGAUGAAGGACGUGCUAAUCUGCGAAAAGCGUCGGUAAGGUGAUAUGAACCGUUACAGCCGGCGAUGUCCGAAUGGGGAAACCCAGUGCAAUUCGUUGCACUAUCGUUAACUGAAUACAUAGGUUAACGAGGCGAACCGGGGGAACUGAAACAUCUAAGUACCCCGAGGAAAAGAAAUCAACCGAGAUUCCCCCAGUAGCGGCGAGCGAACGGGGAGCAGCCCGGAGUCUGAAUCAGCUUGUGUGUUAGUGGAAGCGUCUGGAAAGUCGCAGGGUACAGGGUGAUACUCCCGUACACUAAAACACACAGGUUGUGAACUCGAAGAGUAGGGCGGGACACGUGGUAUCCUGUCUGAAUAUGGGGGGACCAUCCUCCAAGGCUAAAUACUCCUGACUGACCGAUAGUGAACCAGUACCGUGAGGGAAAGGCGAAAAGAACCCCGGCGAGGGGAGUGAAAAAGAACCUGAAACCGUGUACGUACAAGCAGUAGGAGCCCACUAGUUGGGUGACUGCGUACCUUUUGUAUAAUGGGUCAGCGACUUAUAUUCUGUAGCAAGGUUAACCGAAUAGGGGAGCCGCAGGGAAACCGAGUCUUAACUGGGCGUUAAGUUGCAGGGUAUAGACCCGAAACCCGGUGAUCUAGCCAUGGGCAGGUUGAAGGUUGGGUAACACUAACUGGAGGACCGAACCGACUAAUGUUGAAAAAUUAGCGGAUGACUUGUGGCUGGGGGUGAAAGGCCAAUCAAACCGGGAGAUAGCUGGUUCUCCCCGAAAGCUAUUUAGGUAGCGCCUCGUGAACUCAUCUUCGGGGGUAGAGCACUGUUUCGGCUAGGGGGUCAUCCCGACUUACCAACCCGAUGCAAACUACGAAUACCGAAGAAUGUUAUCACGGGAGACACACGGCGGGUGCUAACGUCCGUCGUGAAGAGGGAAACAACCCAGACCGCCAGCUAAGGUCCCAAAGUCAUGGUUAAGUGGGAAACGAUGUGGGAAGGCCCAGACAGCCAGGAUGUUGGCUUAGAAGCAGCCAUCAUUUAAAGAAAGCGUAAUAGCUCACUGGUCGAGUCGGCCUGCGCGGAAGAUGUAACGGGGCUAAACCAUGCACCGAAGCUGCGGCAGCGACACUAUGUGUUGUUGGGUAGGGGAGCGUUCUGUAAGCCGUUGAAGGUGGCCUGUGAGGGUUGCUGGAGGUAUCAGAAGUGCGAAUGCUGACAUAAGUAACGAUAAUGCGGGUGAAAAACCCGCACGCCGGAAGACCAAGGGUUCCUGUCCAACGUUAAUCGGGGCAGGGUGAGUCGACCCCUAAGGCGAGGCCGAAAGGCGUAGUCGAUGGGAAACAGGUUAAUAUUCCUGUACUUGGUGUUACUGCGAAGGGGGGACGGAGAAGGCUAUGUUGGCCGGGCGACGGUUGUCCCGGUUUAAGCAUGUAGGCGGAUGUUCCAGGUAAAUCCGGAACGUCACUAACGCUGAGGUGUGAUGACGAGGCACUACGGUGCUGAAGUGACAAAUGCCCUGCUUCCAGGAAAAGCCUCUAAGCAUCAGGUAACAUCAAAUCGUACCCCAAACCGACACAGGUGGUCAGGUAGAGAAUACCAAGGCGCUUGAGAGAACUCGGGUGAAGGAACUAGGCAAAAUGGUGCCGUAACUUCGGGAGAAGGCACGCUGAUGGUAGGUGAAGUGACUUGCUCAUGGAGCUGAAAUCAGUCGAAGAUACCAGCUGGCUGCAACUGUUUAUUAAAAACACAGCACUGUGCAAACACGAAAGUGGACGUAUACGGUGUGACGCCUGCCCGGUGCCGGAAGGUUAAUUGAUGGGGUUAUCCUCACGGAGAAGCUCUUGAUCGAAGCCCCGGUAAACGGCGGCCGUAACUAUAACGGUCCUAAGGUAGCGAAAUUCCUUGUCGGGUAAGUUCCGACCUGCACGAAUGGCGUAAUGAUGGCCAGGCUGUCUCCACCCGAGACUCAGUGAAAUUGAACUCGCUGUGAAGAUGCAGUGUACCCGCGGCAAGACGGAAAGACCCCGUGAACCUUUACUAUAGCUUGACACUGAACACUGGUCCUUGAUGUGUAGGAUAGGUGGGAGGCUUUGAAGUGUGGACGCCAGUCUGCAUGGAGCCAUCCUUGAAAUACCACCCUUUAAUGGCUGGUGUUCUAACGUGGGCCCGUGAUCCGGGUUGCGGACAGUGUCUGGUGGGUAGUUUGACUGGGGCGGUCUCCUCCUAAAGAGUAACGGAGGAGCACGAAGGUCAGCUAAUCCUGGUCGGACAUCAGGAGGUUAGUGCAAUGGCAUAAGCUGGCUUGACUGCGAGCGUGACGGCGCGAGCAGGUGCGAAAGCAGGUCAUAGUGAUCCGGUGGUUCUGAAUGGAAGGGCCAUCGCUCAACGGAUAAAAGGUACUCCGGGGAUAACAGGCUGAUACCGCCCAAGAGUUCAUAUCGACGGCGGUGUUUGGCACCUCGAUGUCGGCUCAUCACAUCCUGGGGCUGAAGUAGGUCCCAAGGGUAUGGCUGUUCGCCAUUUAAAGUGGUACGCGAGCUGGGUUUAGAACGUCGUGAGACAGUUCGGUCCCUAUCUGCCGUGGGCGCUGGAGAAUUGAGGGGGGCUGCUCCUAGUACGAGAGGACCGGAGUGGACGCAUCACUGGUGUUCGGGUUGUCAUGCCAAUGGCAUUGCCCGGUAGCUAAAUGCGGAAGAGAUAAGUGCUGAAAGCAUCUAAGCACGAAACUUGCCCCGAGAUGAGUUCUCCCUGACCCUUUAAGGGUCCUGAAGGAACGUUGAAGACGACGACGUUGAUAGGCCGGGUGUGUAAGCGCAGCGAUGCGUUGAGCUAACCGGUACUAAUGAACCGUGAGGCUUAACCUU